rnacentral:rRNA from 1 species
UGCAGUCGAGCGCAGGAAGCAAGUUGAUCCCCUUCGGGGGUGACGCUUGUGGAAUGAGCGGCGGACGGGUGAGUAACACGUGGGCAACCUGCCUGUAAGACUGGGAUAACCCCGGGAAACCGGGGCUAAUACCGGAUAAUACUUUCUUUUGCAUAAAGGAAAGUUGAAAGGCGGCUUCGGCUGUCACUUACAGAUGGGCCCGCGGCGCAUUAGCUAGUUGGUGAGGUAACGGCUCACCAAGGCGACGAUGCGUAGCCGACCUGAGAGGGUGAUCGGCCACACUGGGACUGAGACACGGCCCAGACUCCUACGGGAGGCAGCAGUAGGGAAUCUUCCGCAAUGGACGAAAGUCUGACGGAGCAACGCCGCGUGAGUGAUGAAGGUUUUCGGAUCGUAAAACUCUGUUGUUAGGGAAGAACAAGUACGAUAGUAACUGAUCGUACCUUGACGGUACCUAACCAGAAAGCCACGGCUAACUACGUGCCAGCAGCCGCGGUAAUACGUAGGUGGCAAGCGUUGUCCGGAAUUAUUGGGCGUAAAGCGCUCGCAGGCGGUCCUUUAAGUCUGAUGUGAAAUCUCGCGGCUCAACCGCGAACGGUCAUUGGAAACUGGAGGACUUGAGUACAGAAGAGGAGAGUGGAAUUCCACGUGUAGCGGUGAAAUGCGUAGAGAUGUGGAGGAACACCAGUGGCGAAGGCGACUCUCUGGUCUGUAACUGACGCUGAGGAGCGAAAGCGUGGGGAGCGAACAGGAUUAGAUACCCUGGUAGUCCACGCCGUAAACGAUGAGUGCUAGGUGUUAGGGGGUUUCCGCCCCUUAGUGCUGAAGUUAACGCAUUAAGCACUCCGCCUGGGGAGUACGGCCGCAAGGCUGAACUCAAAAGAAUUGACGGGGCCCGCACAAGCGGUGGAGCAUGUGGUUUAAUUCG